GCCGGGUGCGGUGGCAUGUGCCUGUAAUCCAAGUCACUGGGAGGCUGAGGUUGGUGGAUCAAGUGAGCUGAGGAGCUCUGGGCUGCAGCACACUAUGUGGAACGGGUGUCCACGCUAAGUUCGGUAUCGAUAUGGUGUUCCUGGGGGAGCCCGGGACCACCAGGUUGUCUAAGGAGGGGUGAACCGGCCCAGGUCGGAAACGAAGCAGGUCAAAUCAAAUCAAAAUCAAAUCAAAUUUAUUUAUAUAGCCCUUCGUACAUCAGCUGAUAUCUCAAAGUGCUGUACAGAAACCCAGCCUAAA
rnacentral:SRP_RNA from 1 species